AACAAGGCGGCGGAGCAUGGCGGUAAUUUAAUUCGAUCGCAACGCGAAGAACCUUACCAAGGCUUGACAUACACCGGUAACGCCCAGAGAUGGGUGCCCCUUUGUGGUCGGUGGACAGGUGGUGCAUGGUUGUCGUCAGCUCGUGUCGUGAGAUGUUGGGUUAAGUCCCGCAACGAGCGCAACCCUCGUCCUAUGUUGCCAGCGGGUCAUGCCGGGGACUCAUGGGAGACUGCCGGGGUCAACUCGGAGGAAGUGGGGAUGACGUCAAAUCAUCAUGCCCCUUAUGUCUUGGGCUUCACGCAUGCUACAAUGGCCGGUACAAAGGGCUGCGAUACCGCGAGGUGGAGCGAAUCCCAGAAAGCCGGUCUCAGUUCGGAUUGGGGUCUGCAACUCGACCCCAUGAAGUCGGAGUCGCUAGUAAUCGCAGAUCAGCAACGCUGCGGUGAAUACGUUCCCGGGCCUU
rnacentral:rRNA from 1 species